AAGUCGUAACAAGGUUUCCGUAGGUGAACCUGCGGAAGGAUCAUUACAAAUCCAUCCACGUCUCUCUUGAGACCACGUUGAAAUGUUCCCCGGACCAGGAGGGUCUCUCCUCCCUUUCGGGCGCCUGCCUCCGGGCGCGCCUGCCUGGGAGAGGUCCCCCCUGGCCUGGGCUGUGAAACCAGUGUCACCCUGUUGCCCAAAUGUAUCUUGAUUUCAAUCAAACGAAAACUUGUACAACUUAUAACAAUGGAUCUCUAGGCUCUU
rnacentral:misc_RNA from 1 species